CAAUAGCGUAUAUUUAAGUUGCUGCAGUUAAAAAGCUCGUAGUUGGAUUUCGGGUGGGAAUGGCCGGUCCGCCGUUUCGGUGUGCACUUGCUACGCCCACCUUGCUGCCGGGGACGUGCUCUUGAGUUCACGCUCGGGACACGGAGUCGGCGAGGUUACUUUGAGUAAAUUAGAGUGUUCAAAGCAGGCCUACGCUCUGAAUACAUUAGCAUGGAAUAACACGAUAGGACUCUGGCCUAUCUUGUUGGUCUGUAGGACCGGAGUAAUGAUUAAGAGGGACAGUUGGGGGCAUUCGUAUUUAAUUGUCAGAGGUGAAAUUCUCGGAUUUAUGAAAGACGAACAACUGCGAAAGCAUUUGCCAAGGAUGUUUUCAUUAA
rnacentral:rRNA from 1 species